rnacentral:rRNA from 1 species
UCCUGUACUUGGUGUUACUGCGAAGGGGGGACGGAGAAGGCUAUGUCAGCCGGGCGACGGUUGUCCCGGUUUAAGCAUGUAGGCGGAGGUUCCAGGUAAAUCCGGUACCUUAUUAACGCUGAGGUGUGAUGACGAGGCACUACGGUGCUGAAGUGAUAAAUGCCCUGCUUCCAGGAAAAGCCUCUAAGCAUCAGGUAACACGAAAUCGUACCCCAAACCGACA